CUCUGUGACUCCUACGGGAGGCAGCAGUGGGGAAUAUUGCACAAUGGGGGAAACCCUGAUGCAGCCAUGCCGCGUGUGUGAAGAAGGCCUUCGGGUUGUAAAGCACUUUCAGUAGGGAGGAAGGUAGUGUAGUUAACACCUGCAUUAUUUGACGUUACCUACAGAAGAAGCACCGGCUAACUCCGUGCCAGCAGCCGCGGUAAUACGGAGGGUGCGAGCGUUAAUCGGAAUUACUGGGCGUAAAGCGCAUGCAGGCGGCCUGUUAAGUCAGAUGUGAAAGCCCGGGGCUUAACCUCGGAAUUGCAUUUGAAACUGGCAGGCUAGAGUCUUGUAGAGGGGGUAGAAUUUCAGGUGUAGCGGUGAAAUGCGUAGAGAUCUGAAGGAAUACCAGUGGCGAAGGCGGCCCCCUGGACAAAGACUGACGCUCAGAUGCGAAAGCGUGGGGAGCAAACAGGAUUAGAUACCCUUGUAG
rnacentral:rRNA from 1 species